AGUCUGNAACUCGGCUGCAUGAAGCUGGAAUCGCUAGUAAUCGCGAAUCAGAAUGUCGCGGUGAAUACGUUCCCGGGUCUUGUACACACCGCCCGUCACACCAUGGGAGUUGGAAAUGCCCGAAGUCAGUGACCUAACCGCAAGGAGGGAGCUGCCGAAGGCAGGUCUGAUAACUGGGGUGAAGUCGUAACAAGGUAAC
rnacentral:rRNA from 1 species